rnacentral:lncRNA from 1 species
CACCUACAACCUCAACCUUUGGAAUAUCUUUCACUUUGUUCCAGACUUGUCGGGAUGUCAAAUAAUCUGGUGGAUCACGAGUCUCGGUGUCACCAUGAACAAAAACAUUUUUAUUUCUUCUAAACGGAUGAUCAGUAGGCAAGAACCGACGAUGACAGUCAAACCAAGUAGCCUUCCCACCGUUGUGUAACCAAAACGCUU